UACGAAGGGGGCUAGCGUUGCUCGGAAUCACUGGGCGUAAAGGGUGCGUAGGCGGGUCUUUAAGUCAGGGGUGAAAUCCUGGAGCUCAACUCCAGAACUGCCUUUGAUACUGAAGAUCUUGAGUUCGGGAGAGGUGAGUGGAACUGCGAGUGUAGAGGUGAAAUUCGUAGAUAUUCGCAAGAACACCAGUGGCGAAGGCGAAUCUCUGGACAGUUCCUGACGCUGAGGCACGAAGGCCAGGGGAGCAAACGGG
rnacentral:rRNA from 1 species